rnacentral:rRNA from 1 species
GAUGAACGCUGGCGGCGUGCCUAAUACAUGCAAGUCGAGCGAACAGACGAGGAGCUUGCUCCUCUGACGUUAGCGGCGGACGGGUGAGUAACACGUGGAUAACCUACCUAUAAGACUGGGAUAACUUCGGGAAACCGGAGCUAAUACCGGAUAAUAUAUUGAACCGCAUGGUUCAAUAGUGAAAGACGGUUUUGCUGUCAAUUAUAGAUGGAUCCGCGCCGCAUUAGCUAGUUGGUAAGGUAACGGCUUACCAAGGCAACGAUGCGUAGCCGACCUGAGAGGGUGAUCGGCCACACUGGAACUGAGACACGGUCCAGACUCCUACGGGAGGCAGCAGUGGGGAAUCUUCGGCAAUGGGCGAAAGCCUGAUCCAGCAACACCGCGUGAGUGAAGAAGGCCUUCGGGUCGUAAAACUCUGUUAUUGGGGAAGAAAAAAUGCAGAAGAAUCUCUGGCCGUCUUGACGGUACCUAAAGAAAAAGCCACGGCUAACUACGUG